rnacentral:lncRNA from 1 species
GAAGGGUGGUGGCUGUAAGGAUGGCCCUAACCUAAGAAGGGCAUUAGCCUUAGUAACUCCAUUUUGAAAUAAAACUGCAGUCCCCACCAGGCACACCCACGGAGCCCUCCAAUAUGGUCAUCAGGCACAGCCUGAUAAAGCAAGUCACUUUCCACAACCCUGAUGAAACUCAGAGUGAAGUCUCUGUCAUUUGCCUUCACCCUGAUAAAGGCAAAAGGUGAGAGUUCAGAGUGGAGACCACCAGACCAGAUGGCUUGA